rnacentral:rRNA from 1 species
GGUUAAGCGACUAAGCGUACACGGUGGAUGCCCUGGCAGUCAGAGGCGAUGAAGGACGUGCUAAUCUGCGAUAAGCGUCGGUAAGGUGAUAUGAACCGUUAUAACCGGCGAUUUCCGAAUGGGGAAACCCAGUGUGUUUCGACACACUAUCAUUAACUGAAUCCAUAGGUUAAUGAGGCGAACCGGGGGAACUGAAACAUCUAAGUACCCCGAGGAAAAGAAAUCAACCGAGAUUCCCCCAGUAGCGGCGAGCGAACGGGGAGCAGCCCAGAGCCUGAAUCAGUGUGUGUGUUAGUGGAAGCGUCUGGAAAGGCGCGCGAUACAGGGUGACAGCCCCGUACACAAAAAUGCACAUGCUGUGAGCUCGAUGAGUAGGGCGGGACACGUGGUAUCCUGUCUGAAUAUGGGGGGACCAUCCUCCAAGGCUAAAUACUCCUGACUGACCGAUAGUGAACCAGUACCGUGAGGGAAAGGCGAAAAGAACCCCGGCGAGGGGAGUGAAAAAGAACCUGAAACCGUGUACGUACAAGCAGUGGGAGCACGCUUAGGCGUGUGACUGCGUACCUUUUGUAUAAUGGGUCAGCGACUUAUAUUCUGUAGCAAGGUUAACCGAAUAGGGGAGCCGAAGGGAAACCGAGUCUUAACUGUGCGUUAAGUUGCAGGGUAUAGACCCGAAACCCGGUGAUCUAGCCAUGGGCAGGUUGAAGGUUGGGUAACACUAACUGGAGGACCGAACCGACUAAUGUUGAAAAAUUAGCGGAUGACUUGUGGCUGGGGGUGAAAGGCCAAUCAAACCGGGAGAUAGCUGGUUCUCCCCGAAAGCUAUUUAGGUAGCGCCUCGUGAAUUCAUCUCCGGGGGUAGAGCACUGUUUCGGCAAGGGGGUCAUCCCGACUUACCAACCCGAUGCAAACUGCGAAUACCGGAGAAUGUUAUCACGGGAGACACACGGCGGGUGCUAACGUCCGUCGUGAAGAGGGAAACAACCCAGACCGCCAGCUAAGGUCCCAAAGUCAUGGUUAAGUGGGAAACGAUGUGGGAAGGCCCAGACAGCCAGGAUGUUGGCUUAGAAGCAGCCAUCAUUUAAAGAAAGCGUAAUAGCUCACUGGUCGAGUCGGCCUGCGCGGAAGAUGUAACGGGGCUAAACCAUGCACCGAAGCUGCGGCAGCGACACUAUGUGUUGUUGGGUAGGGGAGCGUUCUGUAAGCCUGUGAAGGUGUACUGUGAGGUAUGCUGGAGGUAUCAGAAGUGCGAAUGCUGACAUAAGUAACGAUAAAGCGGGUGAAAAGCCCGCUCGCCGGAAGACCAAGGGUUCCUGUCCAACGUUAAUCGGGGCAGGGUGAGUCGACCCCUAAGGCGAGGCCGAAAGGCGUAGUCGAUGGGAAACAGGUUAAUAUUCCUGUACUUGGUGUUACUGCGAAGGGGGGACGGAGAAGGCUAUGUUGGUCGGGCGACGGUUGUCCCGGUUUAAGCGUGUAGGCUGGUUUUCCAGGCAAAUCCGGAAAAUCAAGGCUGAGGCGUGAUGACGAGGCACUACGGUGCUGAAGCAACAAAUGCCCUGCUUCCAGGAAAAGCCUCUAAGCAUCAGGUAACAUCAAAUCGUACCCCAAACCGACACAGGUGGUCAGGUAGAGAAUACCAAGGCGCUUGAGAGAACUCGGGUGAAGGAACUAGGCAAAAUGGUGCCGUAACUUCGGGAGAAGGCACGCUGAUAUGUAGGUGAAGUCCCUCGCGGAUGGAGCUGAAAUCAGUCGAAGAUACCAGCUGGCUGCAACUGUUUAUUAAAAACACAGCACUGUGCAAACACGAAAGUGGACGUAUACGGUGUGACGCCUGCCCGGUGCCGGAAGGUUAAUUGAUGGGGUUAGCCGCAAGGCGAAGCUCUUGAUCGAAGCCCCGGUAAACGGCGGUACGUAACUAUAACGGUCCUAAGGUAGCGAAAUUCCUUGUCGGGUAAGUUCCGACCUGCACGAAUGGCGUAAUGAUGGCCAGGCUGUCUCCACCCGAGACUCAGUGAAAUUGAACUCGCUGUGAAGAUGCAGUGUACCCGCGGCAAGACGGAAAGACCCCGUGAACCUUUACUAUAGCUUGACACUGAACAUUGAGCCUUGAUGUGUAGGAUAGGUGGGAGGCUUUGAAGUGUGGACGCCAGUCUGCAUGGAGCCGACCUUGAAAUACCACCCUUUAAUGUUUGAUGUUCUAACGUUGACCCGUAAUCCGGGUUGCGGACAGUGUCUGGUGGGUAGUUUGACUGGGGCGGUCUCCUCCUAAAGAGUAACGGAGGAGCACGAAGGUUGGCUAAUCCUGGUCGGACAUCAGGAGGUUAGUGCAAUGGCAUAAGCCAGCUUGACUGCGAGCGUGACGGCGCGAGCAGGUGCGAAAGCAGGUCAUAGUGAUCCGGUGGUUCUGAAUGGAAGGGCCAUCGCUCAACGGAUAAAAGGUACUCCGGGGAUAACAGGCUGAUACCGCCCAAGAGUUCAUAUCGACGGCGGUGUUUGGCACCUCGAUGUCGGCUCAUCACAUCCUGGGGCUGAAGUAGGUCCCAAGGGUAUGGCUGUUCGCCAUUUAAAGUGGUACGCGAGCUGGGUUUAGAACGUCGUGAGACAGUUCGGUCCCUAUCUGCCGUGGGCGCUGGAGAACUGAGGGGGCUGCUCCUAGUACGAGAGGACCGGAGUGGACGCAUCACUGGUGUUCGGGUUGUCAUGCCAAUGGCACUGCCCGGUAGCUAAAUGCGGAAGAGAUAAGUGCUGAAAGCAUCUAAGCACGAAACUUGCCCCGAGAUGAGUUCUCCCUGACCCUUUAAGGGUCCUGAAGGAACGUUGAAGACGACGACGUUGAUAGGCCGGGUGUGUAAGCGCAGCGAUGCGUUGAGCUAACCGGUACUAAUGAACCGUGAGGCUUAACCUU